GACGAACGCUGGCGGCGUGCUUAACACAUGCAAGUCGAACGGAAAGGCCCUGCUUUUGUGGGGUGCUCGAGUGGCGAACGGGUGAGUAAGACGUGAGUAACCUGCCCUUGACUUUGGGGUAACUUCAGGAAACUGGGGCUAAUACCGGAUAGGAGCUCCUGAUGCAUGGUGGGGGUUGGAAAGUUUCGGCGGUCGGGGCUGGACGCGCGGCUUAUCAGCUUGUUGGUGGGGGAGUGGCUUACCCAGGCUUUGACGGGUAGCCGGCCUGAGAGGGUGGACGGCCACAUUGGGCCUGAGAUACGGCCCAGACUCCUACGGGGGGCAGAAGUGGCGAGUAUUGCGCAGUGGGCGGACGUCUGAUGCGGCAACGCCGCGGGCGUGAAGACGGCCUUCGGGUUGUAAACCGCUUUCGCCUGUGACGAAGCGUGAGUGACGGUAAUGGGUAAAGAAGCACCGGCUAACUACGUG
rnacentral:rRNA from 1 species